UACGUAGGGGGCAAGCGUUGUCCGGAUUUAUUGGGCGUAAAGAGCGUGUAGGCGGCCAGACAGGUCCGUUGUGAAAACUCGAGGCUCAACCUCGAGAUGUCGGCGGAAACCGUCUGGCUAGAGUCCGGAAGAGGAGAGUGGAAUUCCUGGUGUAGCGGUGAAAUGUGCAGAUAUCAGGAAGAACACCUAUGGCGAAGGCAGCUCUCUGGGACGGUACUGACG
rnacentral:rRNA from 1 species